rnacentral:rRNA from 1 species
AUUGAACGCUGGCGGCAGGCCUAACACAUGCAAGUCGAGCGAGCGGCGGACGGGUGAGUAAUGUCUGGGAAACUGCCUGAUGGAGGGGGAUAACUACUGGAAACGUUAGCUAAUACCUCAUACCAUCAGAUUUGCCCAGAUGGGAUUAGCGAGUAGGUGGGGUAACGGCUCACCUAGGCGACGAUCCCUAGCUGGUCGGAGAGGAUGACCAGCCACACUGGAACUGAGAAACGGAACAGAGUCAUACGGGAGGCAGCAGUGGGGAAUAUUGCACAAUAGGCGCAAGCCGGAUGCAGCCAUGCCGCGUGUGUGAAGAAGGUCUUCGGGUUGUAAAGCACUUUCAGAGGGGAGGCGUUACCCGCAGAAGAAACACAGGCUAACACCGUGCCAGCAGCCGCGGUAAUUC